UUCAUAUGAGAAAUUGAAGGGGAAGGAGAGAACCAAGAGAAUAAAGAAAGGUAUUAUGGUCAUAUGUCAUCAAUCUUCAACAACGGUGCAAGUUUCUUUGGCCAUGAUCCGAUCUUGGCAUGUUUCGUGAACAAUAAAUUAUUGGGCUUAUUAAUCUCUUUUUCUUCUUGAAUUUUGAAAAUAAAAAAUUGAAGUUUCAAAAAAUAGAUAUGGGGAUUCCAUUAAAAGAUGUUCAUGUUAUCUUCAUUUCUGACACAUGUGCUGAGAGUUGGACAAGAAACUGCAAAGAAAACAAUUGGAUUCAUAUAGAGUUGUUUCAAUAGGAAAGUAAGAAGGUGUAAAAGGGUAUUGGAAGGGAAACCUUGCCCAGGUGCUUUACAUUAUUUGAGGAAAUGAAAGGAAAACCGUAAAUGAGGGCAAAUUUGUAAUAUUUAAUACUUAAUGGGAAAUUCACAACCAGUGUAAAAUUUAGUCAACUUUUUGCUUAUUAGUCUUACAAGGUACGCAAAAACUUUUUCUUGGAAUUUUGCCCUUUAAAUUGAUGUUGACUUUUGUAGAAACUUUAUAGGGGGGAAAGAUGGUGAGCUUUCUGUUAUUGGGAGAUUAGCUGCAGAUACUUCUGCUGGAAUGACUUCCAUUUUGCCCUUUAUUUUGGUUUUUACUUUAACUUUAUAACAAUUUUUCCUGCUUAAAGAAUACUUGAUGUUUUUUAUUAUUGUUCUCAAAGUAUUUUUCAAACAUCCAUAAUUACUAAAGGAGUUACAAAAUGGUCCAUUGCAGAUCCUACAUCUUUUUCACAGUACAUCUAUUUGACAUUAUCUUCUAUGAACUUCAUCAACAAGAUUCAUCAGAUGAAGAAGUCAAAGUCGAGUCAGCCAAACAAAUAACAAAACAAGAUUACUUCAUGAGGAUUGACGAAUCAAACAAAGGGCCAUUUGGGGUUGCUAUUACAAAUGCAAACAUCUCCUUCAAAAUAUAAGCAAGAUGGAUUCAUGAUGAAAUUAAACAAUAGGCGCGGUUCUAAUAUAUUGUGAGCUAUGAAUCUAGUGACAUGUUUGUAUGCUAUCUGAUUUUAGUCUACUACAAAUAUUCCUUUAUAUGCUAUCUGAUUUUUUUGUUUCCUUUUGAAUAAAAAUACAGGCGACAAGGAAGAAGUAAAUCAAAUUGUAUGUGCUCUGUUAUUUGACACAAGAAAUUUUAGUGAGGCAUUCACUAGAUUAAUUUUAAUGUUUCAAAGGGACGAUGCAGCAUAAGUAGAAGAACAAUGGGUCAUUGGAUUUCAUUUCACCUUACCAAUGAAGAUGGUUGCAGUUCCGUUUUGACAACUGAGGCAUCUAUAGAAAAUCAUGAAACCGGUUCUACAUAGGAUUUCCCUCCAAACAUUUCCCUUUUAACAUUAUUGGUCAUCCUGCUUUGGCUGAUAAUGGAAGAAGUUCUUUGAGACGUUUACUCAUUGCUUAUGCUAGACAUGUUCUACUACAAGAUAGUAUACAACUUGAAACAAGAGAAAAAAAACUAACAUAGCGCCAACGGCGCAAAUGAUUCCACUCUAGUUAUAUUAUAAAAAUAUAAAAAAUAUAUUUUUUCUA